ACGAACGCUGGCGGCAUGCCUAACACAUGCAAGUCGAACGAGACCUUCGGGUCUAGUGGCGCACGGGUGCGUAACGCGUGGGAAUCUACCCUCAGGUUCGGAAUAACUCAGAGAAAUUUGAGCUAAUACCGGAUGAUGACGUAAGUCCAAAGAUUUAUCGCCUGAGGAUGAGCCCGCUUAGGAUUAGGUAGUUGGUGAGGUAAAGGCUCACCAAGCCGACGAUCCUUAGCUGGUCUGAGAGGAUGAUCAGCCACACUGGGACUGAGACACGGCCCAGACUCCUACGGGAGGCAGCAGUGGGGAAUAUUGGACAAUGGGCGAAAGCCUGAUCCAGCAAUGCCGCGCGAGUGAUGAAGGCCUUAGGGUUGUAAAGCUCUUUUACCCGGGAUGAUAAUGACAGUACCGGGAGAAUAAGCUCCGGCUAACUCCGU
rnacentral:rRNA from 1 species